GCAAGUGUUACAACUUCCUUCCCUGCCCACCGCCGGGCCUCGGGGAGGGCAGCGCGCGCUGAGCGCCAAUGAGUUCACUUUCUUUUUCUCCCCCGCGCUCUCCCCCUUUCUGUUCUCGCAGGCCCCUCAAGUCUCCUGCUUGGCUGCUAAGGCCCGGCUGGAGUUUUCGGUUCUCGGCCUCGGAGCGGGAGGAUGGAGGCGGUGAGGGAGGAGGAAGAGGGAAAGGUGAGGAGGCGAGCGGGGCGCUGUGCCAGGGAGCAGCAUCCAGGACCUUAAUUGUGUGACUUGGGGACGCGCCGGGCCGAGUGUGCCCGAGACCAGGCGCGUACACGUGUCCGUGUGUGUGAGUGUGGGAGAGAGGAGAGGAGCCUACCAGGCGCUUCCCCCAGUGCGGAUCGCGGGAGAGCCCAAUCCCAGGGCGAGCUGGACCGCGCUGGGAUCAUUUAUAAUCCUUGUCUCCUCCGCUCCGCCGCUCGUCAAGAUGACAGAUGGGAUUUGCCGGACUGAACCACGUUCGCCGCCCCUCCCUCCCUGCCCCCUCCGGGCCGCGUCGGUACAGGGAAAGCACCGAGGCUCCCAUGCUGUGACCAAUCAGUGCAUCUACUACUCUUGCCGUGAUUUAGGGGUCAUCCAUGAAUAACACUUCACGCUGAUGAAUGGCUCUUGCCGGCUUUCGGCUCUGAUGAGGGGUCUGCCCGCCGCUGAUUGCAAACACUAGUGAACUUACAGCGCCAUUCGAAAUUCACACGCACCAACAAAGUGCGCGGGGUGGGCAUUCCAGGUCAGCUGAGUCACCCGAGGAGGUGGGAGUGCAAGCCACUGCCGGGAAGAUGGAUUCGGAGGCAGAAGGGUGUCAUUAAGGAUUUCCAACCCCAGUAGGCGGCCCGUCCUUUACACGACCUCUGAAAAUGACCUGUGCCUUCCCUUCCAGAGUGUCCUCUCCUCCGAGACUGAAAAGCGCAAAUGACCUUCGAAAGGGGAAGGGGACUCUAAACACUCAGACUUUCUUACAAGCCCACUCGGCACUGUCGCGGAACAAGUGUCCGCUCUCGGGUUCAAGCACCAGGACCACCUACAGGCACGCACUGGCCAGAGGACGGGAUCCGGAGUCCUCUCAAGUGUCCACACCUUUCUUUCUCUUCCCACCCCUUCUCUCCCUCCCUCCCGUUUCCUUCAGAUUAGCUGCCUUGACUUUGCUUGGGAGGAAAUAAAAGUUUACUGCUCUG